GAUGAACGCUGGCGGCGUGCCUAAUACAUGCAAGUCGAACGCACGGACGAUAAGCUAGCUUCCUUAAUGUUAGCGUGUGACGGGCGAGUGAGACAUGGAUAAGCAACUAAUAUGACUGGGAGCACUUCGUAAGAAAGGGGAUACUAAUAGAACAUAGUAUGAACGGGAUGAUUCAAUGGUUAUUGACGGUCUGGCUGUCUUUUAUAGCUGCAACCGGGUUGUAUUAGCUAGUUGGUAAGGUAACGGCUCACCAAGGCGACGAUGCAUAGCCGACCUGAGAGGAUGAUCGGCCACACUGGAACUGAGACACGGUCCAGACUCCUACGGGAGGCAGCAGUGGGGAAUAUUGGACAAUGGGCGAAAGCCUGACGGAGCAAUGCCGCGUGGGUGAUGAAGGUCUUCGGAUCGUAAAACUCUUUUAUUAGGAAAGAACAGAAGUGUAAGUAAAUGUGCACAUCCUGACGGUACCCAAUGAGAAAGCAACGGCUAACUUCGUG
rnacentral:rRNA from 1 species